rnacentral:rRNA from 1 species
AUUGAACGCUGGCGGCAGGCCUAACACAUGCAAGUCGAACGAGUGGCGGACGGGUGAGUAAUGUCUGGGAAACUGCCUGAUGGAGGGGGAUAACUACUGGAAACGGUAGCUAAUACCGCAUACCAUCGGAUGUGCCCAGAUGGGAUUGGCUAGUAGGUGGGGGAACGGCUCACUUAGGCGACGACCCCUAGCUGGUCUGAGAGGAUGACCGGCAACACUGGAACUGGGACACGGUCCAGACUCCAACGGGAGGAGGCAGUGGGGAAUAUUGCAAAAGGGGCGCAAGCCUGAUGCAGCCAUGCCGGGUGUAUGAAGAAGGCCUUCGGGUUGUAAAGUACUUUCAGCGGGGAGGCGUUACCCGCAGAAGAAGCACCGGCUAACUCCGUGCCAGCAGCCGCGGUAAUAC